AGAGGCAUGGUGUCCCCUGGCCUGCCUCUUUGAAUAGUUUACUCUGUCUACAUUCUCAGCUGGAGCUGGCACAUGGUCAGCUGUGAAUCGGAGGCUCCACCCUUGCCCUGGCUUCCUAGGCCUUAGGUUCUGGGGCUGAUAGAAUGGAGAACGCGAAUGAACCAAGAAACUCAGGCACAGAGAAGUUAAGCAACUUGCUCAAGAUCACACAGUCAUUAAGUGGCAAAACUGGGAAUGGAACCUAGGCAUUUUGGCUCGUCUUUCUCCUAACCAACACUAUUAGCAAAAAUCCUGAUGUAUGAAAGAAAAUAACAACUGCUUUAC
rnacentral:lncRNA from 10 species